AUACAGGUCCUCUGACAGUCUGCAUGAGGACCCCCCAAUGACUGUAUGGAGGGGGGUCCGGGUCACAGAUCAGCUGUACACCAGCACAGAGACCCGAUGGGUGCAGGCAGAGACUCCGCUGAGUCUCUGUUGCAGAGACUCCACCGUCUCUGACAGUUCUGUGCCUGGCCUGUGCUUUUGAACAGCGAGCCUGUUCUCGCAUCCUGCACCAGGAGACCCCACAGGUGGGGACGCUCUCAAGGAGACUUAGAGUGUCUUUGUUUGUGUCUGUUGUCAUACCGUGGUCAUCACGCUAUAUGAGGUUCAUCAUCUCAUUCACUGGGUAAGAGUGGGAUGGUGUUGAGCAGAGCAACCCUGUAGCAGGCUGACGUACGAGACGACAGACCAAUCAGUCUCUAUGGUCAGGAGAAGCGCAGUGGUCAAGUAUCUGUGGGAUGAUUAACAUUUGUUUUUCUUUUUUCUCUUUUAGGUGUGGCCAGGUCUGACAGAAUAUCCUGAUUUCUCCGAUGAAGUGACACCUGAAUGGUGGUACGACAACUUGCAGAAGUUCCAUGUGGCGUUUGAUGGGUUAUGGAUUGACAUGAAUGAGCCAUCAAACUUCUUGGAUGGAUCGACCAAUGGCUGUCCAUCAAGCCCUCCUAAAAAUUCUCCUUACUCGCCUGGCGUACGUGAGGGUUUGCUGAGAUCUAAAACUCUGUGUGCCAUGGCUCAACAGAAGGAGUUCAUACAUUACAACAUGCACAGUCUCUAUGGACUCAUGGAAGCUAAAGCCUCUGCAAGGUGGCAAUCUAUAACAUACACACACACACACACUUAGCAUGAAAAUAAAAGGUCAUUCAAAAGGUGAUAUUUUCAUCAAUCACGGUGUCCUGCACAGUGGCUGAUGCCACCAAAUCGUCUCUUCUCCUCAGAUGCAGAACACUACCAUCAUCAUUGAAAAAGUGUGUGAUAUUGCUAUACAAACUGUAGGUUAUAUAAACACGGUCGCACAUGCAUUCCCCAGUCAGUGCAAUUUCCUGAACAUAAGUAGGACUAAUUCACCUAUGUGCUUCCAUUAACGAUUGUAUAACAACACAUUUUCACCCCUUAAUACUCCCCUACCAGUUAGCUCAGGCUACCGCUGGUCACUCAGAGCAGGAACGCCCCUAAUUAUGCAAAAUAUUAAACCUUAAAUAAAAAUGAGAUUUACUCCCAUUAUACUACCUCGAACAGUUAAUUAAAUGUUGAUAUGUGGAUUUUAAUAAUUUUGUAGAUGCUAUGUCCAUGUUCUGUUUUUCAAUCUUACCAAUAGCAACAAUGUAUUUUAAUAUGAUGUUCUUCAUGUAGCUCUGUAGUACAAUGGGGUUGACACAAUAUACAGAUCACACGCACUCACAUACUCAUUCCUGGUACUGAUUUUCAUUCCUGUUACCAAAUGUUUUUUUUUCUUCUGAUUAUUCAGUUGUUUCGUCAAAAAUAAAUAAAAUAAACUGUAUGUUUA